AUCUACAGGCUUAACACAUGCAAGUCGAGGGGCAGCAUGGUCUUAGCUUGCUAAGACUGAUGGCGACCGGCGCACGGGUGAGUAACACGUAUCCAACCUGCCGUCUACUCUUGGACAGCCUUCUGAAAGGAAGAUUAAUACAAGAUGGCAUCAUGAGUCCACAUGUUCACAUGAUUAAAGGUAUUCCGGUAGACGAUGGGGAUGCGUUCCAUUAGAUAGUAGGCGGGGUAACGGCCCACCUAGUCUUCGAUGGAUAGGGGUUCUGAGAGGAAGGUCCCCCACAUUGGAACUGAGACACGGUCCAAACUCCUACGGGAGGCAGCAGUGAGGAAUAUUGGUCAAUGGGCGAGAGCCUGAACCAGCCAAGUAGCGUGAAGGAUGACUGCCCUAUGGGUUGUAAACUUCUUUUAUAAAGGAAUAAAGUCGGGUAUGCAUACCCGUUUGCAUGUACUUUAUGAAUAAGGAUCGGCUAACUCCGUGCCAGCAGCCGCGGUAAUACGGAGGAUCCGAGCGUUAUCCGGAUUUAUUGGGUUUAAAGGGAGCGUAGAUGGAUGUUUAAGUCAGUUGUGAAAGUUUGCGGCUCAACCGUAAAAUUGCAGUUGAUACUGGAUAUCUUGAGUGCAGUUGAGGCAGGCGGAAUUCGUGGUGUAGCGGUGAAAUGCUUAGAUAUCACGAAGAACUCCGAUUGCGAAGGCAGCCUGCUAAGCUGCAACUGACAUUGAGGCUCGAAAGUGUGGGUAUCAAACAGGAUUAGAUACCCUGGUAGUCCACACGGUAAACGAUGAAUACUCGCUGUUUGCGAUAUACAGCAAGCGGCCAAGCGAAAGCGUUAAGUAUUCCACCUGGGGAGUACGCCGGCAACGGUGAAACUCAAAGGAAUUGACGGGGGCCCGCACAAGCGGAGGAACAUGUGGUUUAAUUCGAUGAUACGCGAGGAACCUUACCCGGGCUUAAAUUGCAGAUGAAUUACGGUGAAAGCCGUAAGCCGCAAGGCAUCUGUGAAGGUGCUGCAUGGUUGUCGUCAGCUCGUGCCGUGAGGUGUCGGCUUAAGUGCCAUAACGAGCGCAACCCUUGUUGUCAGUUACUAACAGGUCCUGCUGAGGACUCUGACAAGACUGCCAUCGUAAGAUGUGAGGAAGGUGGGGAUGACGUCAAAUCAGCACGGCCCUUACGUCCGGGGCUACACACGUGUUACAAUGGGGGGUACAGAGGGCCGCUACCACGCGAGUGGAUGCCAAUCCCCAAAACCUCUCUCAGUUCGGACUGGAGUCUGCAACCCGACUCCACGAAGCUGGAUUCGCUAGUAAUCGCGCAUCAGCCACGGCGCGGUGAAUACGUUCCCGGGCCUUGUACACACCGCCCGUCAAGCCAUGGGAGCCGGGGGUACCUGAAGUGCGUAACCGCGAGGAGCGCCCUAGGGUAAAACUGGUGACUGGGGCU
rnacentral:rRNA from 1 species